CAGUCGCCGCGGUAAAACGGAGGGGGCUAGCGUUGUUCGGAAUUACUGGGCGUAAAGCGCACGUAGGCGGCUUGGUAAGUUAGAGGUGAAAGCCUGGAGCUCAACUCCAGAAUUGCCUUUAAGACUGCCGAGCUAGCAGGUGAGAGAGGUAAGUGGAAUUCCGAGUGUAGAGGUGAAAUUCGUAGAUAUUCGGAAGAACACCAGUGGCGAAGGCGGCUUACUGGCUCAUACUGGACGCUGAGGUGCGAAAGCGUGGGGAGCAAACAGGAUUAGAUACCCGCGUAGUCCCUGUCUCUUAUAC
rnacentral:rRNA from 1 species